CUCAGGAUGAAUCUGGAUUAAAAAAGAACAUACACAAGAAACAAAUUUUUUCCUACCAAUGAAGUUGGUCCUCAUUCUAGCUUUACUUUAUGUGGUAUCAUUAGCUGAGCAGAAAUACGACAAUGUCACUAAAGCUAACGGUAUCGAAAUUACCAGUUACGGAACGAGUGCAUCAAAGGGUAUCAGAGCCAUCGGGCGAAGUUAUGCGUAUCAGCUGAUAAAGAAACAACAGUUCACUGAUUAUGUAGAUACUGCUUGGGGAAUCUUCAAUAAUGAG